UUGUUAUUUCAUGUGUUUUAUUCCCACUGUAGAGUUUCGAGUCAUGUGUGUGCGAGGAGGGCGGCUCUCCUCGGGUCAGCCCUCGCGUGGACAAUCAGGAAACGCCAGGAGUAUGUAUUAUAGAAAAUCCGCCUCAAGACCCGAUCUUGGUCUCCGACGCGUCAAUCGAGGACCUGUCUCUGUCAGGCCCCACCCGCAGUCCCCGAAGUCCCCGCAGUCCCCGCCGCGUGUGCGUGCGAGCCCCCGAGGACACUACGAGGGGGGAGGACAGCAGGGGGGUGGAGGAGCUGUUCUUCAAUAAGGGAGUGGAGAGCAAUGCUUCGGAAGUCGGAAAAUCAUAUGCUACAGAUGAAUGUGAGCCGACUUUAGAGGUAA